UCAGUCGGCUGGAUGACUGCUCCCGCUAGGCCCGAAAGGGUGCGGGGGAGGAAAGUCCGGGCUCCACGGAAAAACGGUGCCGGGUAACACCCGGCGGGGGCGACCCCAGGGAAAGUGCCACAGAAAUUAAACCGCUCGCGGAUUAUCCGCAGCAAGGGUGAAACGGUGCGGUAAGAGCGCACCGCGUGGCCGGCAACGGUUGCGGCAGGGCAAACCCCACCGGGAGCAAGACCGAAUAGGGGUGGUACGGGCUUCGGCCCAGGGUCUUUUCGGCCCACUGCCCGGGUAGGUCGCGCGAAGCCUCCGGCAACGGAGGUUCCAGAUGAAUGGUCAUCCAUGGCGGGAAACCGCCGGGACAGAACCCGGCUUACAGGCCGACUGACAUU
rnacentral:RNase_P_RNA from 1 species